rnacentral:rRNA from 1 species
UAUUGGUCAAUGGGCGUAAGCCUGAACCAGCCAAGUCGCGUGAGGGAAGACGGUCCUACGGAUUGUAAACCUCUUUUGCCGGGGAGCAACGGGGUCCUUGCGAGGGCCUCAUGAGAGUACCCGGAGAAAAAGCAUCGGCUAACUCCGUGCCAGCAGCCGCGGUAAUACGGAGGAUGCGAGCGUUAUCCGGAUUUAUUGGGUUUAAAGGGUGCGUAGGCGGGCUGUUAAGUCAGCGGUCAAAUGUCGGGGCUCAACCCCGGCCUGCCGUUGAAACUGGCGGCCUCGAGUGGGCGUGAAGUAUGCGGAAUGCGUGGUGUAGCGGUGAAGUGCAUAGAUAUCACGCAGAACUCCGAUUGCGAAGGCAGCAUACCGGCGCCCGACUGACGCUGAGGCACGGAAGCGUGGGUAUCGAACAGGA